CCCCCGUUGAGUUCAACCGCUCAACAAAAGACGGCAAUACUGCUGCAUGGGACCUCCUCCUUGGCCCCCCCACCCCACCGGAUCCAGCCAUCAUCCCAGCCUGUUACGGGUCCCUCUCCUCCUCCACCUCCUUCUUCUUCACCAUCCCCUCCUACACCACCAAUACCAUCGCCUCCGAGAUGAAGGGUUUCAGAGUGCCGGGAGCGCAGACGGACAGCGUUGCAUUCUGGGAGCAAUUAGCGGUUGUGGACAAGUCAGGGGCUGUGAUGGUGAGGAAUUGGCCCCGUAGCCAACCCCUCCUCGCGGGCCCCGGCACGGGAGGGGUUCCCCGUGGGCGUCGCCGGCCGCUGGACUGGGGGCCGUAGCUCCGCGCUGCGUCCAGCUACAUUUAACGCGCGCGGCGGCGGCGGCCAUCAUUAAACAACAACGAGAGGCCUCGUUGUGGUUCUUCUCUGUAAAACCGCGGGCUGAGGCUAGGCUGUGUGCGUGGUUACAUGGUUGUGUGUAGAGAGAGAGAGAGAGAGAGAGAGAGAGAGAGAGAGAGAGAGAAGUGUUCGAGAAAGUGUAAGUGCACACUUUGUCUGUCCGUCCGUCCAUCGGUGAACCGUUGGCUGGCAGAACAGGGCAGGCUCUGAACUGUCCGGGGUAGAGUAUGUUCAUGUGUGUGUGUGUGGUGGCGCAUAUUUGUGUGGUGGCGCAUAUAUUUGUGUGUGUGUGUGUGUGUGUGUGUGUGUGUGUGUGUGUGUGUGUGUGUGUGUGUGUGUGUGUGUGUGUGUGUGUGUGUGUGUGUGUGUGUGUGUGUGUGUGUGUGUGUGUGUGUGUGUGUGGUAACCCAAACAGCGGUAGUGAGCGGCGGGUAAAGGGUAAUAAGUUAAGUUCAGGGAGCGCCAGCCGGUCGUACAGUCUUGUGGACCGCGUGGAAAACGGCCGAGGCCCCGCCCCCGCUAGCAGCAGGGCUCCUCUGGCCCCUCACUGGUCCUCUUUUUUUGUAACUCCAGGCGGGGGUCGGGUGAGGGUCUUCACUUCCUGUCCCCCCUCCUCCUCCUCCUCAACACCCCUUCCGUGUUCCAGUUCCUGUCAAUCAGUCUAAGGAGCAGCAGCUGGAUGGAGUCCUACAUGCAACAAGCCCCGCCCACACCACCUCCCUCCCCCGCCCCCGCCCCCCAACCACCCAGGAAGUUCCUGUGCGGGACAUCCCAGCAUGCACCUCCCGCCGGUGCCGUGCGGCCGGUCCGGUGGUCGGGUGCGGGCGGGGGAGGCGG
ensembl:lncRNA